CUCACGAACGUGAGGACAGUUGUAGCUAAUACACCUGAGCACUUUAGAAAUAAUUUAGCUGGUAUUUUCUUUACUACAUAACAAUAUUCUCUCUUGUGAAAUCUGAGUUUUUCGAGUUUCCCAGCCGUAGCCUGCCUAGGCUAUAUGCCUGUGAUCGAAAUCAAAUCAAGGUUGUACGUCCUCCACCCACUGUAGGGCAACUACUAUCGCCAACAGUUCAACUGAGUAUACUGGCAGUUCAUCUGUUAGUCUUCUACAUAUCUUCACAUCAAAUUCAGAAACGUAAACACCUGCUUCUGUGCGCCCACUAUCUGGGUCCUUGGAUCCAUCUGUGAAAGUGGUUAGAUCAAGAACAGGAUCUGGGAGUAACCAUGGAGGAACAUUCUCUAUCAUCACAGAAGGGCCAACCUCUAACACCUUCAAACCACUCUCAUCAGCAAGCUUUCCAACUGUCCAACCAAAACCACUGCCUUGUCUACAAGUAUUCCCAACAGUCAUCUAGAACUGUAGUAGUGGGUUGCUCAACCUCACAUCCUUUCAACCUAACCCAAUAAGCUAAUGAUUUUUUUUACGCCGUAUAUCCAAAGGCAUCUCACCUGCCUCCACUAUUAAGACGCAUACAGAUGUUAAUUCACCAGAUGUUGAUUCACCAAUUCAUAUCCUUAAAGUAAUCAGACCCCUUAACUUUUUCCACAUUUUAUUAUGCUACAGCCUUAUUCUAACAUGGAUUAAAUAGUUUUUUUCCUUAUCAAAAACAGGUUUUUAGACGUUUUUGUAAAUGUACAAAAAAAAAGGAAAUAUCACAUUUACAUAAGUAUUCAGACCCUUUACUCAGUACCUUGUUGCAACACCUUUGGCAGCGAUUACAGCUGUCUUCUUGGGUAUGACGCUACAAGCUUGGCACACCUGUAUUUGGGGAGUUUCUCCCAUUUUUCUCUGCAGAUCCUCUCAAACUCUGUCAGGUUGGAUGGUGAGCGUCGCUGCACAGCUAUUUUCAGGUCUCUCCAGAAAUUUUAAAUUAAGUUCAUGUCCAGACUCUGGCUGGGUCACUCAAUUACAUUCAGAGUCUUGUCCCAAAACUACUCAAGCAUUGUCUUAGCUGUGUGCUUAGGGUUGUUGUUCAGUUGGAAGGUGAACCUUUGUCCCAGUCUGAGAUCCUGAGCAGGUUUUCAUCAAGGAUCUCGCUAUACUUUGCUCCGUUCUUCUUUCCCUCGAUCCUUACUAGUCUCCCAGUCUCUGCCGCUGAAAAACAUCCCCACAGCCACCACCGUGCUUCACCGUAUGGAUGGAAUUGGCCAGGUGGUGAGCGCAACGUUUGGCUAUCAGGCCAAAGAGUUAAAUCUUGGUUUAAUCAGACCAGAGAAUCUUGUUUCUCAUGUCUAAGAGUCCAUUAGGUUCCUUUUGACAAACUCAAGCGGGCUGUCAUGUGCUUUUUACUGAGGAUUGGCUUCCUUCUGGCCACUGUACCAUAAAGCCCUGAUUGGUGGAGUUAUCUCAUCUCCAAAGAGGAACUCUGGAGCUCUGUCAGAGUGACCAUCGGGUUCUUGGUCACCUCCCUGACCAAAGUCCUUCUCCACCGAUGUGUGCCUUUCCAAAUCAUGUCCAAUCAAUUGAAUUUACCAUACCAUACCAAUCAAGUUCUAGAAACAUCUCAAAGAUGAUCAAUGGAAACAGGGUUUUUCCUGUUUUCGCUUUGUCAUUAUGGUGCAUUGUGUGUAGAUUGAUGUAAUGUAAUGAAUAAAUAAUAAAAUGUGCAAAA